rnacentral:tRNA from 1 species
GCGAGUGUGGUGUAGCGGUUAUCACGGCUGCCUUCCAAGCAGUCGAUCCGGAUUCGACUUCCGGCGAUCGCA